CUACCCUGAGGAGUGAGUGACAAAUAUGAGAGCCUUUCAAGACCAGGUCUUAAAUACAACACAGAUAUUUCUCUCUUAUUGGUCAUAUAACUCAAGGACAGCAGUAUUGUAAUGAGAGCUACAUUAAAUUCUUAAAAUGGUGACUGCUAAACUAGACACUAAAUUUGACAAGAUAGUUAGACACAAAAACUUGAUACAAUAUCAAUCUAAGACAAUGUUGAUCCAUUUUUACUCCACCUCAGUGAGAAUGUUAACACCUGGAAUUAACCUGUUCUACAAGAUGCUGUGAAGAUUUAAAUGAAUCAGAGCGCUCCACCCAGAGAGAGAGAAGCUUAUGGAAUGACUAUUCCCUGAAGAGCCUUGUGGGUAAAACGUUUCAUAAGCCUUCAUUUUUCUCCUCAGUACCAAUUCCUAGAAGUGGCAAUGCUGGAUCAAAGAAUUUGUAGGGGAAGAACCUACUCCUUUCUCAUACCGAGUGUGGCACCCAAGGCAGGGACCAGCCAAAUUAGAAGAUGAGCCUGCUACUCCACAGCUACAGAAGAUAAGCUGAUUCCCAUUGGUUCUUUUCUCCUACCCACAUUUCUUCAAAUAGGCUGUCAUUGCACAUGUCCCUGCAGGGAAGAAAUCAAAGGAAGGGGGUAUAAAGGACUCCCACGUCUGUGUAGAUUAUCCCAAUUUUGAAGAGUGGUAAAAAGAAUGACAAAUGCCAGUGACUCAAAAAGUAGAAACCGAACAAAAAGUGAUGGUCCUAAGUUUUCUCUACUGCGUUUCAAAUCAACCGUGUCCCACUUUGAGAAAAGCAGAGAAUGUAGGUAACAGGGAGAGUAGG